GGGUCGUUAGCUCAGUCGGUAGAGCAGUGGACUUUUAAUCCAUUGGUCGAAGGUUCGAAUCCUUCACGACCCACCA
rnacentral:tRNA from 2 species